CCAACUCCUUCAGUCAAAAGCACACUUAUAUUAGAAAAAAUUUGGAGCCCCUUUAAUUUGGAGGCCCCAGGCGCAGACCUCCUUCGCCUUGCCCCAGGGCCGGCCCUGAGGACCGGAGAAUGAAGUUUGGUGGUUCACGGACUUCUAUGGUCACCCAGAGACGGGGCAGCGCCAUCAAUCUUGGGAUAUGUUGCGGUCCUUGCGCGGUAGACGUGAUGAUAGGUGGGUAGUAGCAGGCGAUUUCAAUGAGCUCCUCAAUCUCAAUGAGAAAACUAGGGGGAGAGGUUGCGGUAUGUGGCUUAAAUGACUACUUUCCGUGAGACUUUGACGGAUUGUAGUUUGGUGGAUAUGGGUGCAGUUAGGGGUUGGUUCACCUGGAGCGAUAACAACACAAAAGUGAGAUUGGAUAGAGGUACAUGUACUGAUCCUUGGUUACGAGAGUUUGCUUUCUCUCGUGUGAUUGCUCUCCCUCCCAGCCGCUCAAACCACGUUCCCCUAUUAGUGGAGGUUCAGAGAGAGAUGCCAGAUAUGGAACAUAACUGGUGCAAGUUUCGGUUUGAAGAGAUGUGGGUGACAAAUGAUUCUUUCAAGGCAACGUUCGAACAAAGUUGGGCUUUGCCGCAACAGGGUAGUCUGAUGGUGCUUUGUGUCGGAAAAUCAAAGAUACGGGUAACCAUCUACUCAAUUGGGAUAUGACGUUAUUCCAUGGUAGGAGACUUGAGAUUGAGGUUGUUCGAAAGGAGUUGAAUGUGCUACUCUAACGUCAUUUUGAUGCAGCACAUUAAUUUGAGAAAGCUCGGUUGUCCGAAAGGUUGAAUCCAUUUAUGUCUAUUGAUGAAACUUUUUGAGGCAACGAUCAAGAGCUAUUUGGAUGAAGGAAGGUGAUAGGAACUCUAAGUUCUUUCAUCAACACGUUUCAAAUAGGCGGAAGAUGAACAAACUGAAAGGUUUAUUUGAUUCAGAGGGGUAGUGGAAUGACUCUCCUAAAGGUAUUGAGAAUGUUGUUAUUCAUUACUUUCAGAAUUUAUUCACCCAGCAGGCAUCGAAUAUUGCAGCUCAAGAUCGUGUUCUUGAGACUAUUAGUCUGCGUGUUACGGAUAGUAUGAAUCAAGGGUUGGUGGCAUUAUUGUAUACUAAAGAAGAGGUUUGUGAGGCUUUCUUUCAAAUGCAUUCCUCCAAAUCCACUGGCCCGGAUGAUAUGUCCCCUUAUUUUUUCCAGAAAUAUGGGAUUUAGUUGGUGAUAAAGUAAGCUCUGCUAUUAUUUCUUUUCUUACUUAUAAAGAAAUGCCGCAUGAUCUAAAUUUUAUAAAUGUGCUGCUCAUUCCGAAAGUGAAGGAAGUUCAAUAUAUGACUCAGUUGCAUCCUAUUUCUCUCUGUAAUAUGGUGUAAAAGAUAGCUUUGAAGGUUCUUGCUAAUAGACUUAAAGUGUUUCUAUCUGAUAUUGUUUCUCCGGAGCAAAGUGCUUUUGUUCUUGGUAGACUUAUUGGUGAUAAUACUUUAGUUGUUUUUGAACUUGCUCAUUAUAUGCAUAUUUUACAAAGGGGUCAGGAAGGUUUUUUGGCUCUUAAACUAGAUAUCAAUAAAGCUUAUGACAGGUUGGAGUGGGGUUUCCUACAAAAAAUUAUGUUAAAGCUUGGGUUUGAUGCAGCAUGGGUGGAUUUGAUUAUGCACUGUUUGUCGACGGUGAUAUACUUUUUCCUGAUCAACGGCAAGGCUAAAGACUUUUUUACUCCUCAACGUGACUUGAGGCAAGGUUGCGGAGAAACAUGACAAAUACUUGGGUGUUCCUACUCACGUCAGACGGUUCAACAAUGAUACUUUUACUUAUAUCAAAGAUAAGUUGGCUAAGAAGCUCACUGGUUGGAGAUCUAAGUUGUUGAGUGCGGCAGGCCGAGAGGUAUUAAUUAAGGUAAUGGCUCAACUAUGUCUUUGUAUACGAUGAAUAACUAUCUUCUCUCUCAACAUUUGAUUCAGGAGCUUCAUCAGUUAUGUGCCAAAUUAUGGUGGGGAGGAAUAUAUGAGAAAAGAGGAAUGCAUUGGAGAGCCUGGGAUGCUAUCUAUAAAUCGAAGGAUGGAGGUGGUUUUGGGAAUCUGAACUUGGUGAUGCUCUUUCGUAUGCAUGGAGGAGUAUUAUUGCUGGGCGAGAUAUUUUACAUUAGGGUAUUCGUAGAUAGAUCGAAGAUGGUCUUUCUACUAGUACCUGGGAGGAUCCUUGGUUGGAAGGGGUAGAUAUGGCACAGUAUAGGACCCCUCGGGUUCAGAGGGUUUCUGAGUUAUUUUCUCAGCCUAGGGUGUGUAAUUCAAAGCUAUUGACGGAGUUAUUUCCAUUACGACUUGUCAACCAGAUUCUUGCUCUUCAUGUUAGUGUUCGGUCUUAUUCAGAUCGGUGGAUUUAGGGUGCUGAUAGGAAUGGUCAGCUUAAGUUGAAUGUUGAUGUUGCGUUUCAACUUUCUAAUGGUACUUCUGGUUUGGGAGGUGCUUUAUUUGAUCAUUGUGAACAUUGUUUAGGAGUUUUCACGUCUUAUAGGGGUCAUACCGAGUCUCUUUUACAUGUUGAGCUUCUUGCAGUUAUGGAGGGUUUAAAGUUUGCUAAACAAUAUGCCUUUACUUCUCUGAUUUUUGAAUUUGAUUGUCAGGUUCUGGUGGAUGUAGUUUAGAAAUGUACGUUAGAUCACUCAGGGUUUGGUUAUCUUAUUGAGGAUCUUCGUUGGAGUAUGCGCU